CCCUUAGGCAAUCCAAACCACGUGACCUCUGGUUGGCACACAAACUAAAGAAGAGGUUAUGUUUGUAUCUAUUUUUCAAUGAUUUUUCAUUGUUUAUCGUCGUAUUUUGGAUUCAUUUGGAUUUCGUUUCCUGUUUUUGUGAACUUUAUAAACUUUACCACAAUGCGAACUGAUUAUUUAAGGAAAUUAUUAUUGGAAACUCCAGAUGUUGCGAGAAAGAUAUUUAUUGAAGCUGAAAAUAAUUGGGGAUUUAGAUCCAUACGGAAUUCAGUCAGAAUUGGAUUUUACAGUAAAGUGCAGUCCAUCAAGUUACUAUUAUAGAUAUGUAUUUAUACAGAUCUGGUGGAGUCUCACAGUUGCUACUCUAAGCAGCAGAUGAAAGCAUACAAAAGCCUUCAGGCACAUAAAUAUUUUACAGCUGGAUUUGUUUUGAAUGGAGUAAAAAUUGUUAAUGAUUUCCUGAUUUCCAUAUUAUUGUUGGAAAGGUGAAGCAUUUCCAAAAAGCUAAUGCUAAACGACUAAAUGCUUGGGUGGGGUGAUAGCCAGUUCUGAUGACAUAGCAAAUGCACAUUGUAUGCGUAUGGCCGGUAAUAGUGAAGUCUGCAGCCAUAUUGCAGCAAUCCUAUUUUUAGCUGAGUAUGUCCAGAGCAAGACAGACGAAGAAGAACCCAAUGCAUGUACAUAUGUUACAGCUACAUGGUUUGGAGAUAGCAACAUAUGCAUUCUCUGAUGAAAAACUAAUGAGUUUUGAAACUGUUCGGUCAGAGUGCUUGUUGCGCUCACUAAACGAACUGAAAUAUAAGAAGUCUUUGGCAUUGUGUUGCAGCGAUAUGAAAAUGGUUAUUCAUUUUUAAUUAUAAUGUACUUCUUCAUCAUGAGUAAUUAUGUAUUGGUCUUUUAGAUGUGUAUUUAUUUUUGUAAUUAGUAUCAACUUGUAAUGAUAAUAUACAUUUAUCGUUUAAGGUACGACUAUGUUUUGACUCUAAAAUAAAUGUUUUAAAAAUCGAA